CAGGUGUCUUUCUAUAGAUGACCAGUGCAAACAGGUGACAGUAAUACAGGUAACCAGUGGAGGACAGAGGAUCCUCUACAGCAGAGGUUACAGGUCUGGGAGAGACAGAAACCUUUGUUUGUAGAUGAACAAAUAUUUAUUUUCCACCAGAAUGUACACAUAGUCCAUCAAAGUCUGGCUCCUCCUGUGCCGGUCCCCAGCCCGGAAAAAAUACAGGGUGGGGCUGUGUGACUCUGUGAAAGCUGAUUGGCUGUGGCGACCGCUAAAAGGGGUUAUACUGAAAGGUGAACAACAGCAGAGAAACGUUAUCAUGAAAUAAUCCUAAAACUGUUCUAAUGUGAGGAUCUGGUUUGGACUUUUGGUGACCUUCCUGUGGUUCUGGUCCGGUUCUGUUUUCAGUCUCACCAGGUUCAGGUUGAUGAUCCUCCACAGCUGUUUUCAUUUGAGUUGAUGAUCUCUGGUUUUGCAGGUCAUCAGUAGCUCUUCUGUUUUACUUUCUGCUCUGCUGCAUUCUAGGUUCUACACCUCUCAUUCCUGAUGUUUAGAGAGUGAAGGAGGUGACAAACUAUGGGAUGUGGAAACGCCAAAGUGUUGGUGUGCAGCACUAAACUCUGAAACAGGAUCAGCUCGGAGCUCAAACAGUGUUCAGAAAUCGCUCCAUCCUAACACAGCAGGGGGGUAUUCCAGAAAGCAGGUUCUGCUAGCUCCCACGGCUGGUGGUUCCCUCCUUCACGUCCCUGUAGGUCUCGGUGGUGAAGCUCUCCCUUAAGUUCUUCCACAGAUGGUACUUGGUGCUGUUCAGGCUGUGUCGGGCCGCGGUGACGAACCGGAGAGAGCGCCUCACAGCGUUUUUGAAGGUCGGGGUUCUGGCCGUAAAGAAGAUGAAGAUCUGAAAACCCUGAAAACACAGAAGACUCGGAGAAAACCAAGAACUUCUUGAUUUUUGCGUGAAAUAAGAACUCAACUCUGGGAAAGGUGGGAAACCCGGAGCGCUGUGGAUAUUUUCCAGACUGUGAAGAAAAGGUCUGAUCCGACUCUGGAAGUCCUUAGGUCAACUCUGGUCCUGAAGAUCCACCACUGUGCCGGUUCUCCAGAUCUCCCUGCACUCCUUGCUGCUGAUCACCUGGACCAGGUGUGUUCAGUCAAUCAGAACAUGGAACACCAAUCAGUGGUGUGGAGUGAAGGCAGACCUGGUGGAUCUUGAGGACCAGGCCUGGGCAGCUCUGCUUUGGACCCUCCUUCCUGCUCAGUGACAUCAUAGAUGGUGAGGUGGGCGGGG